UAUUUACCUGAUCAAAAGGACAUUGUUUACGAUGUAAAUUUGCAAGGCACGUACGACAUAUGGUAUGACCACAUCCUAACGAUAUUGGACCACGUAUGGCCACAUCAAAGUCAUGACAGCAAACUGGACACGAAAGAAAUUCAGUCCACUGUGGUGCCUGUAUUGGCAUUCUGCAACAAUAUCCUCGUUUUUGCCUUUACAAAACAUCACAUUAACUACUCGGUUACUUCGCAUGCAGUUCUGCCAUCGAAGCAAGAACAGAUGAAUCAGAAAUCGUAAGAUGAGCUCAGCACGAUAUUCUUCGCGUAUACUUUUUUACCUCACUAGCACCCAUGACGAAAACAAUCUAGAAAAAUAACGUUCCAACUCCUCUCGACAGAGAGCGCUAUAAACAACAUAAUACCAAAUUUUCAAAAUUUUACGAAUUGCAAUUUUAAUAUAAUUAAAAU
rnacentral:misc_RNA from 1 species